rnacentral:misc_RNA from 1 species
CGUGGGAGCGGGCUUGCUCGCGAUGGCGGUGGGUCAGUCAGAUAUAUUCGGCUGACACCCAGCUAUCGCGAGCAAGCCCGCUCCCACA